GGCUCCAUGGCCGAGUGGUUUAGGCACUGUAGUGCCAACCGCUCCAGGUCCAGGGUUCGAACCCCUAUGGAGACA